CCUACGGGAGGCAGCAGUGGGGAAUUUUCCGCAAUGGGCGAAAGCCUGACGGAGCAAUACCGCGUGAGGGAGGAAGGCCCUUGGGUUGUAAACCUCUUUUCUCAGGGAAGAAUAAUGACGGUACCUGAGGAAUCAGCAUCGGCUAACUCCGUGCCAGCAGCCGCGGUAAUACGGAGGAUGCAAGCGUUAUCCGGAAUGAUUGGGCGUAAAGCGUCCGCAGGUGGCUCUUCAAGUCUGCUGUUAAAGCCCAGGGCUCAACCCUGGAGAAGCAGUGGAAACUGGGGAGCUAGAGUGUGGUAGGGGCAGAGGGAAUUCCCGGUGUAGCGGUGAAAUGCGUAGAGAUCGGGAAGAACACCAGUGGCGAAAGCGCUCUGCUGGACCACAACUGACACUCAUGGACGAAAGCUAGGGGAGCGAAUGGGAUUAGAUACCCCAGUAGUCCUAGCCGUAAACGAUGGACACUAGGUGUUGCGCGUAUCGACCCGUGCAGUGCCGUAGCCAACGCGUUAAGUGUCCCGCCUGGGGAGUACGCUCGCAAGAGUGAAACUCAAAUGA
rnacentral:rRNA from 1 species